UACGAGGACCUCAAGCGUUAUCCGGAUUCAUUGGGCGUAAAGGGCACGUAGGGGGUUUGGUAAGUUUGUAGUUAAAUCUCAGGGCUCAACCCUGAAUCUGCUACGAAAACUGCCAGACUAGAGGAUGUUAGAGGUCAGUGGAACGUACGGUGUAGGGGUGAAAUCCGUUGAUAUCGUACGGAACAUCAAAGGCGAAGGCAUCUGACUGGAGCAUUCCUGACCCUGAGGUGCGAAAGCAUGGGUAGCGAACGAG
rnacentral:misc_RNA from 1 species